GUAGGGGGCAAGCGUUGUCCGGAAUAAUNGGGCGUAAAGGGCGCGUAGGCGGCUCGGUAAGUCUGGAGUGAAAGUCCUGCUNUUAAGGUGGGAAUNGCUUUGGAUACUGUCGGGCUUGAGUGCAGGAGAGGUUAGUGGAAUUCCCAGUGUAGCGGUGAAAUGCGUAGAGAUUGGGAGGAACACCAGUGGCGAAGGCGACUAACUGGACUGUAACUGACGCUGAGGCGCGAAAGUGUGGGGAGCAAACAGGAUUAGAUACCCUGGUAGUCCACACUGUAAACGAUGAAUGCUAGGUGUAGGGGGUAUCGACCCCUUCUGUGCCGCAGUCAACACAAUAAGCAUUCCGCCUGGGGAGU
rnacentral:rRNA from 1 species